UAGAGAGGCUGGUUGGACAUUACACAGGUUCAGCCUUAUAGAGGACAGAUAGAGAGGCUGGUUGGACAUUACACAGGUUCAGCCUUAUAGAGGACAGAUAGAGAGGCUGGUUGGACAUUACACAGGUUCAGCCUUAUAGAGGACAGAUAGAGAGGCUGGUUGGACAUUACACAGGUUCAGCCUUAUAGAGGACAGAUAGAGAGGCUGGUUGGACAUUACACAGGUUCAGCCUUAUAGAGGACAGAUAGAGAGGCUGGUUGGACAUUACACAGGACAGAUAGAGAGGCUGGUUGGACAUUACACAGGUUCAGCCUUAUAGAGGACAGAUAGAGAGGCUGGUUGGACAUUACACAGGUUCAGCCUUAUAGAGGACAGAUAGAGAGGCUGGUUGGACAUUACACAGGUUCAGCCUUAUAGAGGACAGAUAGAGAGGCUGGUUGGACAUUACACAGGUUCAGCCUUAUAGAGGACAGAUAGAGAGGCUGGUUGGACAUUACACAGGUUCAGCCUUAUAGAGGACAGAUAGAGAGGCUGGUUGGACAUUACACAGGUUCAGCCUUAUAGAGGACAGAUAGAGAGGCUGGUUGGACAUUACACAGGUUCAGCCUUAUAGAGGACA